CUGGCAACUCCUUGCUUGUAACCUACCUGUUCCCUAAGCCAUCUGCCCUUGCAGAUCCCUGAUUAGCAGCCCAGAGCAGCUAGGGAGACGUGCAUGGGCCUUUGAAACACAAAUUAAAAGACUACUGGCUGUAAAGCUGUUUCUCUUCCUUCUUCCCAAGUGGAUUAGGUUUAUAAAGGAUGUAUGGAGUGCUUUUUCUGGCUGGCCCCACACCUGCUGUUCCCACACAGUAGCUGGAGGACAUUGUCAGAGGCUCAGGGAGUGAUGAUGGCCUGGCUUCCAGAAAGACAGUUGAAAACUCAGCUCCAAGGAUCUGGGAGAAAUUUCCUAAUCCCACUUUUACCGUCAUAUAUGUCUGACCUCGGCACGGGACUUUUCCUCGGAGAGCCUGUAUUGUCUUAG
rnacentral:lncRNA from 1 species